AAAAUUUUUCGAAAGAAAAAAAAUCUGUUCUUAUCAGUUUAAUAUCUGAUAGUCCCUUACAUGGGGACCACAUAUUAAGUUGAUUUUUGGGACAGGGAGCUGGAUUAGGGGCUUGCUCCGUCCACUCCAAGCAUCAACCUGGUAUUGCAGUACAUCUGGGAAUGGUGCAUCCUCC
rnacentral:snRNA from 1 species